UGACCUCAGCUCAGUCGUGAAUACCCGCUGAACUUAAGCAUAUC
rnacentral:rRNA from 2 species